UUUUUUUUUUUUUUUUUUUGUGGAUCUUCAAGACUGAAAUAGUAAAUGGCUCUUGAUUUCUGCACUAACAGAGGAAAGAAACAAGUACAUGGAAAAGUAAAAAUUGAUUACAAAGCCUAAAUUUUCCUCUAUAAAUUGGGCAUGUGCUGACUGUGGGAUAUUGAAAUUAUUGGGAGCUCACAGCAUCUCAAGUUAUAUAAUGAAGCUAUUCUGGAAGCUCAUUUCCAGAAGAUCCUUAAAAUGAAAUGGCUCACUCUCUGCUGAAUUGUAGAAUUUGGAGCAAGUUAACUCCUUUUUCAAAUGAAAUCCAAAUUAAAGAGGCAG
rnacentral:lncRNA from 10 species